AGGUUGCCUUGGGAAGCAUGAUCGGCUCUGAAUGGCUGCUGUUUCUCUGCUCUACCAAUAUGAAGUGUCACAGGAUUCUGGUGCAUUAACCUAUGCCAGCAUGUGCACUGACUGAUGUUAUUCAUCACAGACAUUAAGUGCUGUGGUCAUAAUGUUAAACAGAAGCAUGAAAACUUCAGGAUUGUAUCCUACAUGCCAGAGGCUGCAUCAGAACAAAUACAAGUGGUUUGUAUUUCAGACGUACUGAAUUGCUGCUAGAGGUCCACAUUAACUCCAAACACACAGACUCACUCGUGAGCAUUAAUUCCAUAAGAAAUCUCUGCUAGGCCUUGCAUCCUACAGCCUGGAAAAAUCAACAGUAGAGAAUAUUACAGUUUCUUUUAAGGAUAGCACUAUUCUAAAUCUAUAGGACUACAAAGAAUGCAUAAUUGGGAAACAUAAAACAUGCCUAUAAAGCCUGUAUGAUAGGGCUUGGCUGUAGCUACACAAUGCUAGCACGGAUUGUGCUACUCCGGGAUUCUGGUAGACCAUCUGGGAAAACAUCUGAGGUAUCGGUUCUUUAAGAAGGACAUCAAAUCACAGACUACAGACCUGUUAAUGUCUGGAUAUAAAUCCUCUACUGCCAUUUCCAGUCACCAUUGGUCCGAAAGGGGGAAGAAGGAAGAUCUGCAAAGUUAUAUGCCAGUGUUUGACAUGCAGGGCAAGGUGCCUUUUCAUAUCAGUCUGCUAAAGGGAUCAAGUUUUGAAUGAACUUAGUGAGAAUGAAUAAGCCAAAGAUCUUUCCAGGUGAUAUGUGUUUCUAACCAGCAAUUGGCUGGCGAGGACAAUUUCUGAAGUGAAGAGGGGUGAGGAAAACGCUCUCUGGUUUCAUGAGCAGUGAUUUCUCAGUUGGAACUAGUGACCAGUUGACCAGUUGCUAAACAUAUCUUUGAAGGUUAGAGUAAAGGAAAAGAGCAUGAAACAACAACGGACAACACACCACAGGACCGGUGACGUCCCUACCUGACAAGGCUGGGGUCAGGGUUGUAGGGUGGAGGAGGAGUGCAGUGUGAACCUGAGACCAUGGACUGGGAGGAGUGGCCUCCAUUCAUGUCUCCAUUGGAUUGCAUGGGGUGGCUGUUCAUCAUUCCGGGUCCUGAGCACAAGAAAAAGCAAAAGGGUUUCCAUCUCCUGGACUGUGCCCAGAGCGUACAGGGGAGAACCAUUGAAAAGUUUUUGAUUUAACUUAAAGAAGCUACAACUGUCCUUUCCCAAGCACAGAGCCCCAUUCUCCAAUCUGCAGGAAUAACCCACCUCAGGGACCCAAGAUCCUGAGUGUUAACUGGCAGGAUUCCCUGGGAAUUCACCCAUUGCGUGGAGGAGGGGUGAAGAAGCUGGAGGUUCCACCCCCACAAUCCACAGAUUCAGGGGCAACCUUUGCAGACAGCGGCUACACCAUGGAUCCAGGCAGCCUGGCUUGGGCAGGGCUUUCCCAGCUCUCGGCAUGCUGGAUCUGAGCGAUGACGUUUGGAUCGGAGUACUGCUCUUCAGCUAAACGUCACCACCCAAGUUCCGUAGUUCAGAGUGUUCGUUGCUGCUGCCCCGGAAGCAUGGGCCAUGCCCUGGACAACACCAGCUCAGCAGUGCUAGGCAGCACAAAGCUGGGGGUCUCACUCGGAGUUGAGAUUCACCCUUUCCUGAA